rnacentral:rRNA from 1 species
UACGUAGGGGGCAAGCGUUGUCCGGAAUCAUUGGGCGUAAAGGGUGCGUAGGCGGCGAAGCAAGUCAGGUGUGAAAUCCCGGAGCUUAACUCCGGAACUGCACUUGAUACUGCUUUGCUUGAGGACUGGAGAGGAGAUCGGAAUUCACGGUGUAGCAGUGAAAUGCGUAGAUAUCGUGAGGAAGGCCAGUGGCGAAGGCGGAUCUCUGGACAGUUCCUGACGCUGAGGCACGAAGGCCAGGGGAGCAAACGGG